rnacentral:lncRNA from 1 species
GGACAUCCAGAAGGGCUCCAACGAAACUUAUCAGAUUUAGGGACUAAAUUGAAAGAUUGCAUAGUUGAGGGGCUAACUCGUAAAAAGGGAUCAAAUCCCUUUCUUCCUCAGCCGUAGCAGCCCCAAACCGACACAUACACACACACCCAACACACGCAUGGAAGGGAAAAGAGAAAGCUCUCCUUUCUCUCUCUAAAUCUCUCCCAAAAAGAGAUGAUUUUGGUGGAGAUUGAAGCUCUAAGGUGGAUUUCCAUCUUCUCCAUCUUCUUCCUCUCCAUUGGAGCAUGGUUUGUAGGUAAGCUUCAAAACCCUUUAAUGGUAUCUCUUUGUAGUUUGGGUUUUAAGCUUCAAGAAUGGAUUUAGAGCUAUUCUAGCAUGCUAAAUAGAUGAUUAUUGCUAGAAUCUAAGAUCAAUUUAAUUAAUUCUUGCCUAGUUAUAAACCUAGGGCUCGAAAUGCAAUUUUUAAAAAUAUGAGGGUUUGAUCUCAUUUAACCCUCUGGAAACCUAAUUGAUAGGUCACUGAACGUGUUGGAAGUGACGGUUCGGCGAUUCGUCGAGCCGGUGCAAAGUUAUUAAAGAAACGGAUGUUUAGGCUUCGUUUCUGCCUGGAGGGCCGAGGCGACGUCGUAAAAUCCUGGAAACGGAUUUGAAGCAUCGUAAUAGGAAACCGAAGACCUUUAAUUUUCGGAUCGCGGAUCGGAGGUCGUUUGGUGGUCGCGCGCGCGGAUUGGGUCGAGCCAAGCGGCGUGCGCCGCGGGAGGCCGAUUGCGAGUGACGACGAGCAAUCGGAACGCGAUAAAAGGUGGGUGGUGUCCAUCCCGAAUCAAUCGGGCUCCCUUUUAUGUCUAAGUUUUAUAUUGAUCAAAUUGCAUAUUGACAUCUUGCAUUAUAGGGUGAUAAAUGAUGGUUUGGUCCUAUACCUUGCAUGUUCUUUGGUAGAAUAAUGUAUUUGGCUUAGUACUUAUAUCUAACAUGCUUGAGGUUUAUAUAUGUGAUGUGGAACCCUAUAAUGAGAUGAUAAGUGUGGAUGGGAAUUUAAUAAUGCAUUGGCUAUUGCAUUGAAAACUUGUAAAGAACGAGUGGCAUCUAGUUGAUAGUAAACAAAGAACAAAUGACACCUAUGAGUCAUAGUGUAUAUGAAACCUAUGGGCUAUAUGAUGGUUGUAACCCUAGAGGAUAGGGUAUUCUCGAGACGAGGAUUGGAUCAUGCUCACGGUCUGUUUUUAAAUCUUGUGAUGGAAGCCCCACACAAGUAGUGCGCUCCGGAGUUGGUCACGUGGGAUUGCUGAUUUCGGGUCCCAAGGGAUUGCCUAUUUUAGGCCCCGGCAGACGGUCUCGGUUCGUAGUGCGAGUUGAACCUCCCUACCUUCGAGAUGGCUAGUGAGCUGUAGGCUCCUUCAGGGAAGCCACGAGAUUAAGAAACAAGUAAAUGAGAUUGAUGAACGAGUAAAUGGCUUUACCUUUGGACAUGGUAAUGGGUUAGUUGCUUACCUAUUUCAUUGUACAUGCAUUCAUAUCUUUAUGAUUGGGCAUAGUAGAGUACCUUUACUUCUGUCAUUUACCGCUUUCCUUAUCUAUCUAUCUAUCGAUUAUCUACUUGUGCCCAACUUGGACCUAGUGGGGAGAUCGGCGGAGUCGGCGGCCGAACCCACUGGGAACUAAGGAAGUUAGUUCUCACCCCCAUUUUUACUACAGGGCCGAGCGCGAGUUCACACGGCGAGGAUCGCGGUAAGGGCC